GAUGAACGCUGGCGGCGUGCCUAAUACAUGCAAGUCGAGCGAACAGACGAGGAGCUUGCUCCUCUGACGUUAGCGGCGGACGGGUGAGUAACACGUGGAUAACCUACCUAUAAGACUGGGAUAACUUCGGGAAACCGGAGCUAAUACCGGAUAAUAUAUUGAACCGCAUGGUUCAAUAGUGAAAGACGGUUUUGCUGUCACUUAUAGAUGGAUCCGCGCCGCAUUAGCUAGUUGGUAAGGUAACGGCUUACCAAGGCGACGAUGCGUAGCCGACCUGAGAGGGUGAUCGGCCACACUGGAACUGAGACACGGUCCAGACUCCUACGGGAGGCAGCAGUAGGGAAUCUUCCGCAAUGGGCGAAAGCCUGACGGAGCAACGCCGCGUGAGUGAUGAAGGUCUUCGGAUCGUAAAGCUCUGUUAUUAGGGAAGAACAAAUGUGUGAGUAACUAUGCACGUCUUGACGGUACCUAAACAGAAAGCCACGGCUAACUACGUG
rnacentral:rRNA from 1 species